rnacentral:rRNA from 1 species
UUUUUAGAAAAAAUUUUACAAUCAAAGCUCCGGCUAAUUUCGUGCCAGCAGCCGCGGUAAAACGGGAGGAGCAAGUAUUAUUCUAAUUGACUGGGCGUAAAGGGUGCGUAGGUCGUGUAUCAAGUAGUAAAAAAAUUUUAAAUUUUAUGUUUACAACAAAUUACUAAACUAAUUCACUAGAGCAUAGGAAAAGAUUCUGGAACUUCGAAAGUAGUAAUAAAAUACGAUGAUAUUCAAAAGAACAUCAAAAGUGAAAACAAUAAUCUGGACUAUAGCUGACACUAAGGCACGAAAGCGUAGGGAUCAAAAGGGAUUAGAUACCCCUGUAGUCUACGCCCUCAACGAUGAGUGUUUGUUUUUGAAUUAUUUUUCAGAGGCGAAGCUAAGGCAUUAAACACUUCGCCUGGGGAUUACGGUCGCAAGAUUAAAACUCAAAGGAAUUGACGGGAACUCGCACAAGCGGUGGAGCAUGUGGUUUAAAUCGAAAAAACGCGCAAAACCUUACCAACUUUUGUAUAGCAUUUUUGUUACAGGUGUUGCAUGGCUGUCGUCAGUCCGUGCCGUGAGGCGUUUGGUUAAUUCCAGCAAACGGACGAAACUUUUGUAUAAUAUAUUAAUAUAUUAUAAACUGCUUGGAAUAUCCUUGAGGAAGGGGAAAAUGACGUCAAGUCCGCAUGACCCUUAUGAGUUGGGCUACUUUCAUGUGCUACAAAGUAAUAUUUACAACGAGAAGCAAAAGUGUGAACUGGAGCAAAAUCUUUAAAAAAUAUUUAAUUCGGAUUAUUCUCUGCAACUCGAGAAUAUGAAGUCGUAAUCGCUAGUAAUCGUGAAUCAGAACUGUCGCGGUGAAUAGGUUCUCGGGUUUUGUACACACCGCCCGUCACACUAUGGGAAUUUACUCUACUUGAAGACAAAAAUGUUGAAUUUUUUUCCAUGGUAGCGAAAGGACUAGAGUGAAGUCGUAACAAGGUAACCGUAGGGGAACCUGCGGUUGGAAAAAUUUACUA